CCUACGGGUGGCAGCAGUGAGGAAUAUUGGUCAAUGGGCGCGAGCCUGAACCAGCCAAGUAGCGUGAAGGAUGACUGCCCUACGGGUUGUAAACCUCUUUUAUAAAGGAAUAAAGUGAGGCACGUGUGCCUUAUUGUAUGUACUUUAUGAAUAAGGAUCGGCUAACUCCGUGCCAGCAGCCGCGGUAAUACGGAGGGACCGAGCGUUAACCGGAUUUAUUGGGUUUAAAGGGAGCGUAGAUGGGUUGUUAAGUCAGUUGUGAAAGUUUGCGGCUCAACCGUAAUAUUGCAAUUGAUACUGGCAGCCUUGAGUACAGUAGAGGUAGGCGGAAUUCGUGGUGUAGCGGUGAAAUGCUUAGAUAUCACGAAGAACUCCGAUUGCGAAGGCAGCCUACUAGACUGCCACUGACAUUGAUGCUCGAAAGUGUGGGUAUCAAACAGGAUUAGAUACCCUUGUAGUC
rnacentral:rRNA from 1 species